CGCGGGAAUUCGAUUACUGCUCAGUAACACGUGGAUAACCUACCCUCAGAUCUGGGAUAACUCCGGGAAACUGGAGAUAAUACCGGAUAAUCCGUGAACGCUGGAAUGCCUCACGGUUGAAAGCUUUAGCGUCUGAGGAUGGGUCUGCGGCCGAUUAGGUAGUUGCUGGGGUAACGUCCCAACAAGCCGAUAAUCGGUACGGGUUGUGAGAGCAAGAGCCCGGAGAUGGAUUCUGAGACACGAAUCCAGGCCCUACGGGGCGCAGCAGGCGCGAAAACUUUACACUGCGCGAAAGCGCGAUAAGGGGACCUCGAGUGCGUGCGCAAAGCGUACGCUUUUCAGAUGCCUAAAAAGCAUGUGGAAUAAGGGCCGGGCAAGACCGGUGCCAGCCGCCGCGGUAACACCGGCGGCUCAAGUGGUGGCCGCUAUUAUUGGGCUUAAAGGGUCCGUAGCCGGACCAGUUAGUCCCUUGGGAAAUCUUACGGCUUAACCGUAAGGCUGCCAAUGGAUACUGCUGGUCUUGGGACCGGGAGAGGUAAGAGGUACUUCAGGGGUAGGAGUGAAAUCCUGUAAUCCUUGAGGGACCGCCAGUGGCGAAGGCGUCUUACUAGAACGGGUCCGACGGUGAGGGACGAAAGCUAGGGGCACGAACCGGAUUAGAUACCCGGGUAGUCCUAGCCGUAAACGAUGCGAGCUAGGUGUCACGUGGAUUGCGAAUCCAUGUGGUGCCGAAGGGAAACCGUGAAGCUCGCCGCCUGGGAAGUACGGCCGCAAGGCUGAAACUUAAAGGAAUUGG
rnacentral:rRNA from 1 species